UAGGGAAUCUUCCACAAUGGACGCAAGUCUGAUGGAGCAACGCCGCGUGAGUGAAGAAGGUUUUCGGACCGUAAAGCUCUGUUGUUGGUGAAGAAGGAUAGAGGUAGUAACUGGCCUUAUUUGACGGUAAUCAACCAGAAAGUCACGGCUAACUACGUGCCAGCAGCCGCGGUAAUACGUAGGUGGCAAGCGUUGUCCGGAUUUAUUGGGCGUAAAGCGAGCGCAGGCGGAAGAAUAAGUCUGAUGUGAAAGCCCUCGGCUUAACCGAGGAAUUGCAUCGGAAACUGUUUUCUUGAGUGCAGAAGAGGAGAGUAGAACUCCAUGUGUAGCGGUGGAAUGCGUAGAUAUAUGGAAGAAUACCAGUGGCGAAGGCGGCUCUCUGGUCUGCAACUGACGCUGAGGCUCGAAAGCAUGGGUAGCGAACAGGAUUAGAUACCCUGGUAGUCCAUGCCGUAAACGAUGAGUGCUAAGUGUUGGGAGGCUUCCGCCUCUCAGUGCUGCAGCUAACGCAUUAAGCACUCCGCCUGGGGGAGUACGACCGCAAGGUUGAAAC
rnacentral:rRNA from 1 species